ACAUUUUGAUGUCAACUGUUUGCCGAUGCUGUCCCUUUUUGAUUACUGAAACAUUUUGUAAUUCUAUUUGUAUUCUAAGAAGCACACUAACUAGAUAGGGGUUUGGAUAUUCAAUUCUGAGGUUUUUUGGACAAAGAUAUUUUGCCUGUCUGACCAGGGUCUCUGCAUACAAAUUAGACCUGGGCUGCUGCAUCUUCUGGCUCUCGUUUGGUGGAUCUGUUCCAGAAGAUGAAGCUCUGUGCAGAGCGAGGAGGGUCAGAGGAACAUAAUUUAUAAUAAUCACAUGAAAUACUUUCCGAUUAGAAAAGGCAAAACUUGGAACAAAAAUUACCCUCAAUAUAAAAAGAAAUUUAAAAAGUGCCUGUUGGAGUAAAUGCCUUCAUUAUGUCAAGCAUUUAUAGAAAUUUUUCAAUUUAUAAGGAAGUGGAUGGGCGCGGUGACUCACAUCUGUAAUCCCAGCACUUUGGGAGGCCGAGGUGAGUGGAUCACGAGGUCAGGAGUUCGAGACCAGCCUGGCCAACAUGGAGAAACCGAGUCUCUACUAGGAUACAAAAAUUUAGCUGGGUGUGGUGGCACGUGCCUGUAGUCCCAACUACUCGGGAGGCUGAGGCAGGAGAACCACUUGAAUCUGCUUGAUCAUGCCAUUGCACUCCGGCCUGGGUGAAAGGGUGAGACCCCAUUUAAAAACAAAAAAAAAAGGAAGUGAGGGUCAAGAACGUGUUUUUAAGAGAAACCAUCCUUUGACUGCUACAGAAAUAAAUAUAUGCUACUUGUAGACUGCAUUUCAACACCAUUCCUUUGAGAUCUAGUUUGGAGAACAGAAAUGUUUUCACCAAAGUGUACAGCAAAAGUCAACAUAUAGAAGACUACAAGAAGUCACUUGAUUCUUCACUUCCUGCUGUAGAAGCCAGGGCCCCACAGAAGCAAAAAUGUGUACUGUUUAAUUUAUAAGCUACAGUGCGUAGCUUGUCUUCAUUGCACAUGACCUUAAGGUUCCAACAAAGCUUUUACAUCAAAACUUCAUAUCCAUGCCCUUAUAAAUAUUUCUAUUUAAAAUGGAAGCAAUAAAGGAAUGCAUUGUUGGAUAUUUUAUUCAUCUUUCCAACUACAAGUUUAAAAUAUAAAUACUCCUAGUUUUGAAGCAAAAAAAAAAAAAGUAAAAUAGUUUAUUUGUUUCAUUUCCUUAGUUUUAAGCACUACUACAGAUUGAG
rnacentral:lncRNA from 1 species